UAUCCAUUUGCAUAAAGCAUCGUGUUUCCGCGAUCAGAAAUCACCAAUUAGAUUCUACUGAAUGUUUACAACAAUACGUAGUUGAUGACACCAUUGACAAUCAUUAACAUAAAACAUUUAAAAUAGUUACUUAGAGAAUUGUCCCUGCACUUGAAAGAAACCGAAAGGACAGAGAGGAUCUGAUAGUUUAUUCACACAAACAGGUAGGCAGUGUCAUCAUUCAUUAUUUUUAUAAUAUAUUUUACAUUUUUUUAAAUAACAUAAAGCGAGUUUAUAUCUUUUAUUUUUAUUUUAAAAAUAUCUUUUUAUCUUAGUUUACUAGGAUAUUCUUGAAGUACUUGAUAAUCUUAAUAAUUAAUAUACCAGUUUUUAUAGAAGAACAAAUGGAAAAUAAUAUAUACUAUUUAGACUCUAUUGGAUGUUCCUCUCUGUGGCAAACCUUAUUCCUAACCCACCACAUUUUUAUUUUUAGACAUAAAGAAUGAAACUUGUAUGCAAAAGCCGAAUCAACAGUUGUCUUAUACUAACAUUUUGUGUUGUGUCUGUAAUUGGAGCUGUUAAAUCACAGAGUACAAAACCUGCUUUUAUCCGAUUUCUUAGACGCUAUCAAGAUGAUAAAUUCCAAUCAGGACCACAG
rnacentral:lncRNA from 1 species